CAAUAUGACUAUAUCACCCUGAAUGCAACUGAUCUCAGAAGCUAAGCAGGUAGGAGCCUGGAUCGUGCUCGUAUGGGUGACCAGCAUGCACAGAACAAGUGCUGUAGC
rnacentral:rRNA from 1 species